GAUGAACGCUAGCUACAGGCUUAACACAUGCAAGUCGAGGGGAAACGGCAUUGAGUGCUUGCACUCUUUGGACGUCGACCGGCGCACGGGUGAGUAACGCGUAUCCAACCUUCCCAUUACUGUGGGAUAACCUGCCGAAAGGCAGACUAAUACCGCAUAGUCUUCGAUGACGGCAUCAGAUUUGAAGUAAAGAUUUAUCGGUAAUGGAUGGGGAUGCGUCUGAUUAGCUUGUUGGCGGGGUAACGGCCCACCAAGGCAACGAUCAGUAGGGGUUCUGAGAGGAAGGUCCCCCACAUUGGAACUGAGACACGGUCCAAACUCCUACGGGAGGCAGCAGUGAGGAAUAUUGGUCAAUGGACGGAAGUCUGAACCAGCCAAGUAGCGUGCAGGAUGACGGCCCUAUGGGUUGUAAACUGCUUUUGUAUGGGGAUAAAGUUAGGGACGUGUCCCUAUUUGCAGGUACCAUACGAAUAAGGACCGGCUAAUUCCGUGCCAGCAGCCGCGGUAAUACGGAAGGUCCAGGCGUUAUCCGGAUUUAUUGGGUUUAAAGGGAGCGUAGGCUGGAUAUUAAGUGUGUUGUGAAAUGUAGACGCUCAACGUCUGACUUGCAGCGCAUACUGGUUUCCUUGAGUACGCACAACGUUGGCGGAAUUCGUCGUGUAGCGGUGAAAUGCUUAGAUAUGACGAAGAACUCCGAUUGCGAAGGCAGCUGACGGGAGCGCAACUGACGCUUAAGCUCGAAGGUGCGGGUAUCAAACAGG
rnacentral:rRNA from 1 species